UGCGUAGGCGGCUCGUUAAGUCGGGGGUGAAAUACUUCGGCUCAACCGGAGAAUUGCCUUCGAUACUGGCGAGCUGGAGGAAGGUAGGGGUCGCGGGAACUGCCAGUGGAGCGGUGAAAUGCGUUGAUAUUGGCAGGAACGCCGGUGGUGAAGACGCGCGGCUGGACCUUUUCUGACGCUGAUGCACGAAAGCCAGGGGAGCAAACG
rnacentral:rRNA from 1 species